rnacentral:rRNA from 1 species
GUCCACGCCGUAAACGAUGAGUGCUAGGUGCUGUGGGUAUUGACCCCCGCGGUGCCGUAGCUAACGCGUUAAGCACUCCGCCUGGGGAGGUACGGCCGCAAGGCUAAAACUCAAAGGAAUUGACGGGGGCCCCGCACAAGCGGUGGAGCAUGUGGUUCAAUUCGACGCAACGCGCAGAACCUUACCUGGGUUAAAUCCACUCAAACCUGGCAGAGAUGUUGGGGUGCCCUUCGGGGAAGUGAGUGAGAAGGUGCUGCAUGGCUGUCGU